UACGGGGGGAGCAAGCGUUGUUCGGAAUCAUUGGGUUUAAAGGGUCCGUAGGCGGUUUUGUAAGUCAGUGGUGAAAGCCCAUCGCUCAACGGUGGAACGGCCAUUGAUACUGCAAGACUUGAAUUAUUGGGAAGUAACUAGAAUAUGUAGUGUAGCGGUGAAAUGCUUAGAGAUUACAUGGAAUACCAAUUGCGAAGGCAGGUUACUACCAAUAUAUUGACGCUGAUGGACGAAAGCGUGGGGAGCGAACAGG
rnacentral:rRNA from 1 species